UCAAAUUAAAUCAAAACCAAACCAAAUCAAUACUCAUUCGGAAUCAAAUGAAUUGAUUGUUGAAAAAUGGAUGCUAGGUAUUGAAGAACUCAAUGAGACACUGAUUUGGCUCGUCCACGAAAGAGAAGAACCGACCAAGCGCGAAUUGAAUAGCCUCUCUCUCAUCGUGUCUGUUUGGUUUGGAUUUGGCUGUGGUUUGGGGUUUUUAUUUUGAUUUCGAUUUCUUGACGCCAACGAAACGUAUCUUUUCCGUUCCUUGUUCGCCAAAUCAAAUCUUUACCAACGGCUAUUAUCAAUCUCUUGUUUC
rnacentral:lncRNA from 1 species